rnacentral:rRNA from 1 species
GACGAACGCUGGCGGCGUGCUUAACACAUGCAAGUCGAACGGAAAGGCCCCUUUGGGGGUACUCGAGUGGCGAACGGGUGAGUAACACGUGAGUAACCUGCCCUUGACUUCGGGAUAACUUCAGGAAACUGGGGCUAAUACCGGAUAGGAAUCCUUGCUGCAUGGUGGGGGUUGGAAAGCUUCGGCGGUUUUGGAUGGACUCGCGGCUUAUCAGCUUGUUGGUGGGGUAGUGGCUUACCAAGGCUUUGACGGGUAGCCGGCCUGAGAGGGCGACCGGCCACAUUGGGACUGACAUACGGCCCAGACUCCUACGGGAGGCAGCAGUGGGGAAUAUUGCACAAUGGGCGGAAGCCUGAUGCAGCAACGCCGCGUGCGGGAUGACGGCCUUCGGGUUGUAAACCGCUUUCAGCAGGGGCGAAGCUUGUGGUGACGGUACCUGCAGAAGAAGCACCGGCUAACUACGUG